UAUAAAAGACAUGAGAUAAUCUGUUCAAUCCAAUAUGGCUAAAAAACUCACAAAGGAAUGGGACUAAGGAAGAGAACCGGGGAAGGUAAGUAUCGACCAACAAUAUAACUACUUUGUUGUAUUACAUCGGUAAUAAUGAUCAAUCGUAAACAAACUGUCAUUCCCCAUCAGCAGUACUACUACACAAGACGAGAUAGGGAAUAAAUGCCAAAAAAGUGGGGGAAUGAAAAAAAAAAAAAAUUGGAAGGAUUAAAUAACUCCAGUAGCCAUAAGAACUUAUAUUAUUAAAUCCAUAUCCGCCAAGUUGAGAUAUCCGUUGAAAAUCCGCAUUUUCUUUGU
rnacentral:sRNA from 1 species